ensembl:lncRNA
GGGGUCUCUAGGUGUUGAUGGUUGUGUUGUAACAUGGUCCUAUAUGGGGUCUGUAGGUGUUGAUGGUUGUGUUGUAACAUGGUCCUAUAUGGGGUCUCUAGGUGUUGAUGGUUGUGAUGUAACAUGGUCCUAUAUGGGGUCUCUAGGUGUUGAUGGUUGUGUUGUAACAUGGUCCUAUAUGGGGUCUCUAGGUGUUGAUGGUUGUGUUGUAACAUGGUCCUAUAUGGGGUCUCUAGGAGGUGUUGAUGGUUGUGUUGUAACAUGGUCCUAUAUGGGGUCUCUAGGUGUUGAUGGUUGUGUUGUAACAUGGUCCUAUAUGGGGUCUGUAGGUGUUGAUGGUUGUGUUGUAACAUGGUCCUAUAUGGGGUCUCUAGGUGUUGAUGGUUGUUGGGGGACAGGUAGUGGCUGUGUUUGGAGGUAUAUUUAGCUGGGGGACAGGUAGUGGCUGUGACUGGAGGUAUAUUUAGCUGGGGGACAGGUAGUGGCUGUGACUGGAGGUAUAUUUAGCUGGGGGACAGGUAGUGGCUGUGACUUGGGGUAUAUUUAGCUGGGGGGACCGUUUUUGUGUGGCUAGUAGUCCCUAGAAAUGCCAGAAGCUAGGAAGAAACCUAGAGAGGAACCAGGCUAUGAGGGGUGGCCAGUCCUCUUCUGGCUGUGCCGGGUGGAG